rnacentral:tRNA from 1 species
AUUAGGGUGCCUGAGGAAAGGGUUAUUCUGAUAUUAUAAUUCACGUAUUUAUUUUACCCCUAAUA